rnacentral:tRNA from 1 species
GCGUCCGUAGCUCAGUGGAUAGAGCAGUGGACUUCGAAUCCGAAGGUCGCAGGUUCGAAUCCUGCCGGGCGC